ensembl:snRNA U1 U1 spliceosomal RNA
AUACGUACCUGGAAGGAAAGAUACCAUGAUCACAAAGGUGGUCUUCCCAGGGCGAGGCUUAUCCAUUGCACUCAGGAUGUACGGACCCCUGCAAUCCCCCAAAUAUGGGGAACUCGACUGCAUAAUUUGUGGCAGUGGGGGACUGGAUUCGUGCUUUUCUCUG